rnacentral:rRNA from 1 species
AUUGAACGCUGGCGGCAGGCUUAACACAUGCAAGUCGAGCGGGGGAAGGUAGCUUGCUACCGGACCUAGCGGCGGACGGGUGAGUAAUGCUUAGGAAUCUGCCUAUUAGUGGGGGACAACAUCUCGAAAGGGAUGCUAAUACCGCAUACGUCCUACGGGAGAAAGCAGGGGAUCUUCGGACCUUGCGCUAAUAGAUGAGCCUAAGUCGGAUUAGCUAGGUGGUGGGGUAAAGGCCUACCAAGGCGACGAUCUGUAGCGGGUCUGAGAGGAUGCACCGCCACACUGGGACUGAGACCCGGCCCAGACUCCUACGGGAGGCAGCAGUGGGGAAUAUUGGACAAUGGGGGGAACCCUGAUCCAGCCAUGCCGCGUGUGUGAAGAAGGCCUUAUGGUUGUAAAGCACUUUAAGCGAGGAGGAGGCUACUCUAGUUAAUACCUAGGGAUAGUGGACGUUACUCGCAGAAUAAGCACCGGCUAACUCUGUGCCAGCCGCCGCCGUAA